GCAAAGCCGCGAGGCAGAGCGAACCCCAAAAAGCCGUCCCAGUUCGGAUCGCAGGCUGCAACCCGCCUGCGUGAAGUCGGAAUCGCUAGUAAUCGCGGAUCAGCAUGCCGCGGUGAAUACGUUCCCGGGCCUUGUACACACCGCCCGUCACACCAUGAGAGUCGGGAACACCCGAAGUCCGUAGCCUAACCGCAAGGAGGGCGCGGCCGAAGGUGGGUUCGAUAAUUGGGGUGAAGUCGUAACAAGGUAAC
rnacentral:rRNA from 1 species